AUAAUUCUUAUCAAAGCCAUGAGAUAAAUAUUUAAUUGAUAAAUAAGUGAUGUGCAACAAAACAAUGAAUUAAAUAAAGUUAAUGUAUUUAAUACCUUAAAAAAUAAAUUUCCUUUAAAAUUGUUUACAAAAUCAACUUCCAAAUUAAUAUAUGAUCAUGUCAGGGAUUACAAGCUUAUCUAAAAAGGAAGAUCACUUUAACAAUCUGUAAAUUAAAAUUAGUUGACUUAAAUUUAUACCUCUGGAAAAUAUAAGUGAAGUAGUUCCUCACAGGUAUAUUUAAUUCCUAACUAUUGCACUCUUCAUAUUUCUCAUUCUAGAAUUUUUUUUUAACCAAAGACAAGACCUUUAUUUCACUAUCAGUCUCAAAAAGAAAAGAGAACUCAUUUAUUUUUGUACAACAACUUACAGAUGGAAUAUAACCUAACAAACAUGUUGAGAAGAGAGUGACUCACAGGCUGAAAUCAUGCUAUACAAGGAACAUUUACAGAAACAAGGAGACCUCGAAUGUACAAGGGAGAGGAAAAAAUGGAGGCAACACAUAUGCUGUCUUCUGAUGUAAUUUAAAGGCAGGGCUAACAUUUGAAAGUGAAUCUGACUUGAUUAGUAAGCCUCAUCUUUUCAACUAAAUUUAACAGGAAGAAGUUUUAGAGAGCUAAAUUUCGGGUUUAUUGAAAUAUAACACAGAUACAAAAGAUUCACCCAUAAGCCUGCCGUUUGAUAAAGUUUCAAAGUGAGAAAUAGUCACGUCACCAUCAUCACAGUCAAGAUAGAAAGCAUCUCCAACUCCUGGAAAAGUUUCUGUGCCCUUCUGCGAUCAAUCCUCCUUCCUGACUGCUUCAGGCAACUGCUCACUGAUGGUUUUUCUCGGUGUGGUUUUACGUUUUCUAGAACCUCAUACACAGAAAUGUUUUCAAGUGUUUGGUGUGCGUUGCGAGUGUACUAGGCAUAAAGAUAUCAGACUCUAUGUCAGCUGUAGCUGAAUUUAACAGUUUUGUUUUUCAUUCAUAAUUUCAC